UACCGAUGCGAUGGUCCGGGCCUGGCUU
rnacentral:piRNA from 1 species